AAAAGAACUUGGCAACCAGAUCCUGACAAGAUGGCUAUUUUGAGGCACUACCCUACUGUCUUCUCAGUCAGCUGGCUUUCCAACUAAAGUCCUUUCCUUGCCUCAACACCUUGUCUCUCAGAUUCAUUGGCCUGUCAUAUAGCAAGCACAGCGAGCUUGGACUCAGUAACACGUGGGGUUACAAAGAGUUGGACAUGCCCAGGUGACUCCGCAGCCUGUUGGAUCAUCCCAGAUCAGGGACUGAACCCAUGUCUCCUGCAUUGGCAGGUAGAGUCUUUACCACUGGGCCACCUGGGAAGCCCCCGUGUGUGCAUCAUUUUAACAAAAGCAGUUGAAAGAGCAGAUAUAGAACAAUCAGCUUGAGUUCCGUUCAGUUCAAUCGCUCAGUUGUAUCCAGCUCUUUGCCAACCCAUGGCAGAACGCCAGGCUUCCCUGUCCACGACCAAUUCCUAGAGCUUGCUUAAACUCAUGUCCAUUGAUUCAGUGAUGCCAUCCAAUCAUCUCAUCCUCUGUUGUCCCCUUCUCCUCCUGCCUUCAAUCUUUCUCAGCAUCAGGGUCUUUUCUAAUGAGUCAGCUCUUCCCAUCACAUGGCCAAAGUAUUGGAGUUUCAGCUUCAGCAUCAGUUCUUCCAAUGAAUAUUCAGGACUGAUUUCCUUUAGGAUUGACUGGUUUGAUCUUCUUGUUGUCCAAGGGACUCUCAAGAGUCUUACUCAACACCACAGUUCAAAAGCAUCAGUACUUCAGAGCUCAGCUUUAUAGUCCAACUCUCACAUCCAUACAUGACUACUGGAAAAACCAAAGCUUUGCCUAGACAGACCUUUGUUGGCAAAGUAAUGUCUCUUCUUUUUAAUAUGCUGUCUAGGUUGGUCAUCGGAGAAGGCGAUGGCACCCCACUCCAGUACUCUUGCCUAGAAAAUCCCAUGGAUGGAGGAGCCUGUUUUGCCGUCAAGCUCGCACAGGAUGAGUGAGAGCACCUUGCAGAACCAGAAUCAUGUAUCAGCUUACAAGAAAGGCUUGAGCCACACUGCCCUGUUGAAGUCCCAGCCCCGCUCUGCACUCCUGUGUGACUACCUGUUGCCUUGGCCUCUUCAUCUGCAACGUGGGGGUGACAGCAGGACUCUGGUCCCAGGGUUGCUGGUGAUUAAGAGGAGGUGGAUGCACAGUACUUGUAGCAGCCAUUGUCACUAUGUUGUAAGGUGCUGCACAGGACAAGGAGGAGGACAAGGAGCAGGCCUUGGACGCAGAGGCAGAGUGAGGGCUCUGCUGCGUCUACAUGGAGGGGAGGAGCCAGCCCAGUUCAGUUCUGCCCUGAACUCCAAGUCCAGGCUUUAAAAAAGGAGCCAUAAAAAUGCCAUCUCACUGACGAAGGUCUGGAGCCCUUGACCACCCUGGAAAAACAUCACCUCCGCCCUGCCAAUAUUUAUCUCUUCAGCUUGCUUCUGGCCAAAGUCCACACCAGGCGUGAUUCUACUGCUUGCAGAGCCUUACCACUGACGUCCCUGUACUGAGGGGCUCUGACUGGAGGAGAUAAGCCCAGAGGGGCAGCUGUGUGGAUGCUGUCUCUUGUCACAAAAGAGCCAGCUUGGAAAGGGCAGACAGGCUGGGCUGGCUCCAGAGGUUGGCAACUGACCUUUGUAAGGAAGAGUCAAGAGUCAGAUUCCGUGUCAGAAAGUUAAGAUUACAGAACUCUAAGAAGGAAUUGGAUUCUUUCUCCUCCUUACCCACCUCCCAGUGUAUCAUCUCACCUUGUUUGGCCUGAACUAUUCCAGUGAUUUAAAGCAUUCCUGGGGCUGUCAUAUGACCUCUUCUGAUCCUCACAACCACCCCACAUGGCAGGUGUUGGUGUCAAUGUCCUCAAAUGAGAAAACUGAAAGUCAGAGGACUCAUCUGACUUUGCAGAGGUCCCCAGGAUUCUAGAUGGCAUAGCUCAACUCCUAGACCAGAGCCCUUUCUGCUACAGAAACACGGACUCAUCACCUGCUCAGAGCAGAUGAGCAAAGAGCAAAUCGACACCCUCAGGACCCUGCUCAGGCAAGAUACACUGAGCACUCUACAAGCAGAAGGGAGAGCAGCAGGUCCCAGAGCUUGGGUGGGCUGGGGGAUGGCUAUCAUGUGGGUUUUUCUGUCUCAUUUACUCUACUAGUUUUCCCAAAAGGAUUCCACCAAUACAAAUACU
ensembl:lncRNA